UGAAUACGAGACGCUAAGGCGUCGAAGUAGUGUAUGUCAUACUUCCAAGAAAAGCUUGCACUGUCAUAGAUAAAAAACGCCUGUACCAUAACCGACACAGGUGGGUAGGUAGAGUAUACAAAGGGGCGCGAGAUAACUCUCUCUAAGGAACUCGGCAAAAUAACUCCGUAACUUCGGGAGAAGGAGUGCCUUAUUCGUAAGGUUGCAAUAACAAGAUCCAAGCAACUGUUUAUCAAAAACACAGGUCUCCGCUAAGUCGUAAGACGAUGUAUGGGGGCUGACGCCUGCCCAGUGCCAGAAGGUUAAAGAAGUUGGUUAGCAAUUGCGAAGCUGAUAACUGAAGCCCUGGUGAACGGCGGCCGUAACAAUAACGGUCCUAAGGUAGCGAAAUUCCUUGUCGGGUAAGUUCCGACCCGCACGAAAGGCGUAAUGAUUUGGAUACUGUCUCGGAGAGGGGCUCGGUGAAAUAGACUUGUCUGUGAAGAUGCGGACUACCUGCACCAGGACAGAAAGACCCUAUGAAGCUUUACUGUAACUUGAAAUUGAAAUUGGACUUUAUUCGCGCAGUAUAGGUGGGAGGCGUUGAUUAUAAUCUUGUGGGGUUAUUGGAGCCAUCAGUGAGAUACCACUCUUGUAAUGUUAGAUUUCUAACUUUGAAUCAUUAUCUGGUCAAAGAACAGUUUCAGGCGGGCAGUUUGACUGGGGCGGUCGCCUCCUAAACGGUAACGGAGGCGUACAAAGGUUUCCUCUGAACGGUUAGAAAUCGUAUCUAGAGUGUAAAGGCAUAAGGAAGCUUGACUGUGAGACCUACAAGUCGAGCAGGGACGAAAGUCGGUCUUAGUGAUCUGACGGUACUGAGUGGAAAGGCCGUCACUCAACGGAUAAAAGUUACUCUAAGGAUAACAGGCUGAUCUCCCCCAAGAGUUCACAUCGACGGGGAGGUUUGGCACCUCGAUGUCGGCUCAUCGCAUCCUGGGGCGGUAGUACGUCCCAAGGGUUGGGCUGUUCGCCCAUGAAAGCGGUACGCGAGCUGGGUUCAGAACGUCGUGAGACAGUUCGGUCCAUAUCCGGUGUAGGCGUUAGAAUAUUGAGAGGAGCCUUCUUUAGUACGAGAGGACCGAGAAGGACAUACCUCUGGUGUACCAGUUAUCGUGCCAACGGUAAACGCUGGGUAGCUAUGUAUGGAGUGGAUAACCGCUGAAAGCAUCUAAGUGGGAAGCCCACCUCAAGAUAAGUAUUCCC
rnacentral:rRNA from 1 species